UACAGGUGAUAUUAUUUUGCCGUCUUCAGCCUUAGCUACAUGUGAGUGCGCGCUGCAUUGACGCCGUCCGAUGCAGCUGUUUAAUCGUGUGUACGCUGUGCCGAGAGUAAUUGUGGUGCAUUUUGUAUUCAUUGAGAAUCACAAAACCCCUGGGACCGCGUAAUGUAGCCCGCAGUAUCCUUCGUGUGGUGCGCCGAUGUCGAAGGUAUGAGCCUUCGCCACUUUCUUUGUUCCGGGCUCACGAAAAGGAUCUCCUCCUCUGGCACUCUCGCAUCGUGUCACACUGUACGGAAGAAUUUGGUGAAAAUUGUGCUCUUACGUCCUGUAGUUGAUCCGCAAUUCAACAGUGUGUGCGCCGGAAGGACCGUUGGUGCAGUCGAUGCCGCGGCACCUGUGACGCUAAAAGGAGCGUUUUCCGAGUACGCCUAGAAAGGGAUGGCAAGAUUUUGUGAACCAGAGGCACCUCCAGAUAUGCACCUGCGGCACUUCUGCAGCCUCAACAGCACGGCAAAGUACCUGAUGUGCAUGCUGUGACAAGCUGCUAUAGGUAUGGCUGGACCUGGAGAAGAAGUGUAAGCAGACCAUGCUAUGUUGCUGAUCUGCGCUGAUCUCCACAUCCAAGUUGGUCCCGUGACAGUUGGGCGCCAUUGUGCCUUGCUUCAUUGACAAGGUGAUAUAAUAUGGUGAGCUUGUACUUCAAUAUCGGUAUUGAAAAUUAUGUUAAGGAAAAAAGACAAGGAUUGGUCUUUAUGAUAGAUACACUCAUGUUCUUUCUUUAAGGUGUUCUUUUGACACUGUUCUGCAUGGACAUAUUUUUAGAGAAUUAUAACAGUCCUUCAUUGCAAAGUGCCACGGCGCUAGUUUAUGCGUUAAACUAGCACUCUUUCACCAAAAAAAGCCGUAUUUAGCACACAAUUCACAAGGAAAGAAAGGAGGCAACAGGACAGAGUGCUACUAACAGUUCAGUAUUAUAGCUCGCACAGUAAUAUUGUGCAAAAGGUGAAAGGGGAAGAAUAGAUCUGAAUACAUAUUGUUCGCACAGAAACGAAAAGGAUGCAUCACAUGGUGAGUGUGACAUUUGUUUUACAAUGAUAAGAAGCAGUCUCACUGUCUAGUAAUUCUCUGCAUGGGGAGCUAGUGCUAGGUUCCUCGUCAUACAUAUAAGAAAAGUUUCAGAUAUCUCUCCAGCGCUUUUGUCUUUUUAUUUUGUCACGAUCAAGCAGCUUUUAAACAUAGGUGCAUGUGCACCGAGAGUAGUGCACUACCACUGCUAACUGACCCACACAUCAAGUUUGCUUGGUCACGCUGCCAGUCAUUUAUACAUUUGCCGGUUUAUCCGAUGUAGCCUCUACUGCACGAAAUGGUAUGUGAUAGACACUUCACCUGUGUACUGUACGUGCUUUCUUACAUUAUUUUUUUCAGAGAUAGUGAUGCAGGCCUUUUCAUUAUUUACAUGCCUACACAACAAACGAAGCAUUAUCUGUGCUUAGAAAGAAUUGUAGGAAAAUCCAGCAUGAGGCAACUGUUCUCAGCACGAAACAAACUUGAUUCGUUGGUUUUCGUUCAUUAUUGCGAUCACACUAAGGCAGACAAGCUUGUAGGCUGUGCUUCUGCAAUUUGUACAGCACACUGACAGCACUGGUGUGGGCCUCAUCUGUGGGCUGACUGAUGGCACCUUCUACGGCGCAGACCACUUGUGUUGGGCGAGGCACCAAUGUUGACGUUUGUUCCCUUGUGCAAAACAGCAGUCCUAGGUUUAGAGUAGUUGUAGGAAGACAAGGUAAACAUAACUUCCAUGGCUUGAGUGGGCUCAUUUCUCUUGGGGCAUCUAGCUUUUUUUCUUGCAACUGUGCAGAGGUGCUUCCCUAGAGUCAGCGGGAAAAUGGCAUAGAGUUGUGCAUUCGGGAACUCCUUAACAAUGAUCUGCCGUAGUUAGGGCCUUGCGAAAAUGCACUGUCUGCCAAGUGGUAGAAGGUGCAUUAUUCAGCCACAGAUUUCCUGUUGGCAUGAUUGCACUCGUGCUGUCAGUAAUUUCUUGGCUUGCCGAAUUAUCUUGAGGCCCCACGCUGAUGAUGCUACCGAUGUCUUCGUGUGCAGAUUUUCAGGAUGAGGUUUUUUGCUUUGCAAAUGUUGUUGAAAGGUAGGUGGUGCUUACAGGUAGCUAUUCUAAAUAUUAGUGAAAUGAAUUGGCCCAUCUUGCUUCGUCAAACAUCGUCACGCCGACAUCAGUUGCACAAACAAAAAACCUGGCCUACUUGCAGCGUCGUGCACGAAGAAACAAACAAAUCAGCUGCUGGAUUGUCUUGGCAUCGCAUACUAAGCUGAGACCAGAACUGCUGUAGCUACAAACCAGGCAGAAACGAUGAUGAUGAGCAGGGAUUUGUAGUAGCGCCACUUCGUGGGGCACCAAGGAGGCUUCGUUCAAAACAAAAAUGGCGUUCAGCAAGUAGAACCAUGCCACGGUGAGAGUCGGUGCAUGGUGCUCUCGAUCAAGUUGGCUCAAGGAGUGUCCGAAAAAUCAGACGAGAGGUUGCAAGGCGUCCGAAUUUUCGGAAGUUGUUAUAUAUUAUGGUCCAUGGGGAGAAUGGCGGUGCCGUGAAGCAGACCGAGUACUCAUGUCCGGAAAAUCAGUCGGCGACUGUACCUAUACCUAUGUGUCUAUGUAUACCUAGGUGCAACAGUGUUUGCUAUGAUCUGUGCCAGAAUUGCUGUUGCCCGUAGAUGCCCAACAUGUCGGGUGUCAAAUUGUAAAAUACCUUGCAAAAGUGAUCUACGGAAAAAUACCGCUUCUGCUAUAUUUCGCUUUUGCAAGAAAUUUAGCGGCUGCUGGCACCUACCUUUCUUUCUUUCUUUCUUUAUUGAUUUAUUUAAGACAAUGAACAGAUUGUCUUAGGGGACACGGCUAAAGGCAAAACAUUUGCCUGACUAGGCCGUGCCACCCGUACAUUGGCAGCAACAUGACAGUGGCAGGCUUUCAGGAGGUCACACAUGAAAUUAAAGUAGUACACAUUUUCAACACUUGAGUACACAAUUCGCGUAAGAAGAAAGAAAAAAAAAGGUUAAAGUUUAUACAGUUUUCUAAUCAAUUGAAGCACAACAACGACAGGGAAAAAAAAAGUAUGUACGAAAUUUUCCAUACCUGUAGCUGAAAGGUUAAAGUUUACACAGUUUUCUAAAAACAACAACAAGAAACAUGAACAAAAUUUUCUAUACGUGUAGUUCAACCUUUCUAUUAGUCUUCGGAUAGUAACAAUUCUUUUACCGUUUUCUUAAAGCUUUGCUUUGAAAUUCCAGAAUUUAGCAGGUCCAAUACCAAGGGGUAGUCGUUUAGAAGGUUAGGAAGUUGAACUGCUAGUUUUUGAUCUCCGUAUUUCGUUCUGCAACGUGGUUUUCCUAUCAGAGUUUUUCUGAGGUUAUAGUUUGUCGUUCUGCCAUGAUAUUUACUUUGGAAGGAACAUUUGUCUUCCCAGAAUUGCCGUGAAAUUUCGAGGAAUAAUUUGUAAGUGUGAAGUUUUGAUGCUGUUAAUAUUUUAUAUUUGUUAUAGUAUAGUUUAGUGGUAUCAGUACGUUCUAAGUUACCUAUCGCGCGCAGUGCGCGGUUUUGGAGUGUUUGAAUUGAUUUUAAGUUAGUUUGUGUAGUGGUUGACCAAACUAGCAAACAAUACGUUAAUCGAGAAUGUAUAAGCGCGUUGUAAAUAUUGCGCUUCACAUUUAUCGGUAGCAAAUAUCGCAACCUAUUUAGCACACCGACAGCACGAGCGAUAUUUUUUCUAAGAACGUCUACGUGCGGUGACCAGGACAUAUUUUCAUGGAAUAUAACUCCUAAAAAUCUGGCUGUUGUUGCCUGUUCGAGGUUGACCUUCUGAAACUGGAGUGUUAUCUGAGGGUGGAUUAUUGUUCCUUUUGAUUUAAACACUAGAUACUUAGUUUUAGUUAUGUUUAAUUGGAGUUUAUUCGCAUUUAGCCACAAGCUUAGUUGCUGUAACCAGAUGUUAGCUCGCUCAAAAAGAUUUCCUAUUUCCCUUCCUGAGAAGAACACGUUAGUAUCAUCCGCGUAUAAUAUAAUAUUGGAACAGCCUUGAAUAUUGACAAUAUCAUUAAUAUAGAGUAAAAAUAAAACAGGCCCCAAGACGGAUCCUUGCGGCACGCCGUACUUAAUGUGCUGAAUUUCGGAACUAACUCCAUUUAUUGUUGUGUACUGUGUUCUAGAGGUCAGAUAGCUUUUUAUUAAGGAUAAUGCGACACCACGAAUUCCAUAAAAAGGUAGCUUUUUCAAAAGGACAUCGUGUUGCACGCAAUCGAAGGCCUUCCUAAAAUCUAGAAAGAUACCUAGAGUUAACAUUCGGUUUUCUAUGUUGUCAAGGAUUUGUUCCUUUAUUUCAAGUAAAGCGGUUUCUGAAGAUUUAGCCUUACAGAAACCAUAUUGCUCCUGAGCUAUUAUGUUAUACGUGUUUAGAAACUCACAGUCUUCUAUUAAUUACAUGCUCAGCAAUUUUCGCGAAGACAGAAAGAACGGAUAUUGGCCUGUAGUUAUUCAUGUCGUUAACUGGGCCACUCUUAUGAAUGACUGUCACUCGGGCUAGCUUCAUCCUGUCUGGAAACACACCGUUGGAAAGAAUUAAGUUACAGAUAUGUGAAAGAGGCGUGCUUACAAUUUCACUGACGGCUUUCAACGGCUUCACUUUUAUAUCAUCUUCACCUGAAGCACAACUGUCUUUCAACGAUAAAAUUAUUGUUUGUAUCUCGUGCUGCUCAGUAGGCGCCAAGAACAGCGUAGAAGAACAUCGAUUUAAUAUAUAUUCCGUGCAAGAGACGUGUAUCAUUUUGUGAGGACGCACCAGCAUCAAUAAAAUGAGAAUUAAAAGUAUUUGCAACCUCAGUAUCUGACAAUUCACUAUGCUGAAAUGCAACUUUUCUUGUGAUAGCGCCUUUGUUAAUUACUUCAUUGAUCGCUUUCCACAUGAGAUUUGAAUUUCCCAUGAUAGCAAAAAACUUGUUCGCGUAAUAUUCUUGUUUAGAGCGUUUAAUAUCGGAAUUCAAUUUGUUACGCUCAGAUUUGAAAGACCGAAAGUCAUCUUCGCUUCUGCUACUCAAAAAGAUUUGGAAGAGCUUGUUACGACAUUUUAUCCUGUUAUAGAGGUCACGAGUUAUCCAAGGCUUUCUAGCUUUGUUGUGUUUUUUAAACUUCUUAAGUGGGAAAGAUCUGUUGUAUAACAACGCGAAGGUAGAUAUAAAAACAUCGUAAGCCUUGUUUACAUCAGUUUCCGCGGUCACUUCGUCCCACCGAUAACCAGAGACUAGUUCAACAAAUUUCCUAACACUUUGUUCUGAAUAAAUUCUUUUUAAGCUUUCAGGGCAUAUAUUGGAUGGCUGUCUAUGAGGUAGCAGACAGUAUAUAGGCAAGUGAUCACUAAGAUCGCACAUCAAGACUCCUGCCCUUACAUAUUCAGCAGAAAAACUCGUCACACAGAGGUCAAGUGUUGUCUGGCUUGUAGGUGUGAUGCGAGUAGGCACGUUGAUGACAUUUGAACACCCGUAUGAUUCAAAAGUUUCCUGAAAACGCGUAUAUUCUAGGUUGUCUGGGCAAGCAUCUAUAUUAAAAUCGCCCAUUAAUAUUGUUUCAAGUUUAAGUUCGGUGCUGAGUUCUAAUAAUUUUUCAGUAAAUUCUAAAAACUUGCACAUGAAUCCAGAUGGCGGGCGGUACACUACCGAAAUCAAGGUGUUCAUGCACUGAAGACCUAUACAUUCAUAGCAUUCGUUAACAAUCUUGAGCUCGGGGAUUAUACUGUACGACAAACCAGAACGGACAUAAAUAGCAAUUCCUCCUCCUAGUUUUUUCGUUCGGUAAACAGAGAUGCAGUCAUAUCCAAAAAUAGAAGCGCAUUCAUCCUCUGAUGUAAACCACGUUUCACUAAAACAAAGCAAAUCGAAGCAGUGUUGCAGCUCAGACAGAUACAAACUGACUUCAUCAAACUUAUUUCUCAAACUUCGCACAUUAAAAUGAAAUAUUGAAAGUGGACAUUGGUUCUUUAACGACGCGACGUCCCCAGAAAAUUUGAAUUCCAGGGUCGCCAUUGUGGUUUAGUAAACAUAACACAUCUUUUGCUAUCACGUAUGCCGCCAUCACUUCGAGGCUGUAAGACUGGCCAGAUCCUCCUCGCCGCGUAUGACAACAGCUCGGUCGCCGCUCCUUUUUCGCACCAAAACUUUACCGUUUGAGUGCCAGACGUAUGCGUAUCCUGAGGUCUGGGCCAAAUACCAUAUAAAAGGCUUUAUAUGGUCUUCGCAUGGCCAGGGCCUUCUACUUUUGUGAGUUUACUUAUCUCGAAAUUUACCCCGGUUUUUAUAACUUCAAGUUGGCGGGAUCCCUAGUCUCCUUUAACGUGUACCCAAUAGACCUUACAUAGGGGUUUUGGCAUUUCCCUGCCAUCUAAAUGCAGCCAUUGUGGCUGGGAUUCAAUCCCAUGCCCUCUGUCUGAGCAGCGCAAUGUCAAAGCCAGUACACUACGGUAUUUUGCUGGCAGACGGGUUUAGUUUCUGAAUAAUUUAUUAUCUCAACCUGUCGGUGUUGUUUUUAAAGGUAUUUCAUGUUUGUAUUCUGUUGCUUCAAUACUAGUAAUUAUUGUUAAUCAAACGAUGUGUCCAUCUUUUUCCUAUAAGACUUGCUUCAAUCGCCUGCUAAUUAUGACAGCUUAUUCUCCCACAGUAAUCCAUGUUCCCUUGAAACAUAGGCAGUGCAUGAAACCACAUAUUUUUCAAUAAGAUGUAUUCGUUAUCUUCUAUGACCGGAAUGCUGAACCUUUCUUAUCUGUGAGAACAUAGGCAAAUUUGCCUAUGUGCUAACCUGUUGCAUGAGUCAAGAUAAAUUAUUGGCUUUACUUUUUCA